rnacentral:lncRNA from 1 species
AACAAUUCUGGUCCAAAAUCAUAUGAAUAACUCAUAAUCAUAAUUGUAGUUCUAAAUUCCUCUUCUCAUCCAGGACGAAAAUAAUUUUCAUCACCUAUCUUUACCUGAAACAUUAAAGAUCAUGGUUACACCAAAUCACAUUUCCUGUUCAUAAUCAUACUAAUAAUUUCAUCUUUUCACUACGGCCAAACGAAUUUAUUUGUAUCACCAGUUGGUCAUGUUCAUCUCAAC